rnacentral:misc_RNA from 1 species
GGGCCUUCCUCUUCCUCGCCGGCUCCCCGGUGAACUCCUCCUGGGGCGCCGGGGCUGGCGAGACGGCCGGUGUGUAUGAAACCGUUUAUGUUGAUGGGAGAGCUCCCAUUGCCUCUAUCGAUGAAGAUUUUGUUUGCGCCACCCUAGACUGGUGGCCGCCGGAGAAGUGUGACUAUGGGACGUGUGCUUGGGGGCUUGCCUCUCUGCUCAACCUGAACCUCU